rnacentral:rRNA from 1 species
GGGACACUAGAUGUCUUAGUAGCGAAGCUAACGCGUGAAAUUGUCCGCCUGGGGAGUACGGUCGCAAGAUUAAAACUCAAAGGAAUUGACGGGGACCCGCACAAGCGGUGGAUGAUGUGGAUUAAUUCGAUGCAACGCGAAGAACCUUACCUGGUCUUGACAUGUACGGAAUCUCUUAGAGAUAGGAGAGUGCCUUCGGGAACCGUAACACAGGUGCUGCAUGGCUGUCGUCAGCUCGUGUCGUGAGAUGUUGGGUUAAGUCCCGCAACGAGCGCAACCCUUGUCAUUAGUUGCCAUCAUUAAGUUGGGCACUCUAAUGAGACUGCCGGUGAUAUACCGGAGGAAGGUGGGGAUGACGUCAAGUCCUCAUGGCCCUUAUGACCAGGGCUUCACACGUCAUACAAUGGUCGGUACAGAGGGUAGCGAAGCCGCGAGGUGAAGCCAAUCUCAGAAAGCCGAUCGUAGUCCGGAUUGCACUCUGCAACUCGAGUGCAUGAAGUCGGAAUCGCUAGUAAUCGCAGGUCAGCAUACUGCGGUGAAUACGUUCCCGGGUCU